rnacentral:rRNA from 1 species
CCUACGGGAGGCAGCAGUGGGGAAUAUUGGACAAUGGGCGAAAGCCUGAUCCAGCAAUGCCGCGUGAGUGAUGAAGGCCUUAGGGUCGUAAAGCUCUUUUACCAGGGAUGAUAAUGACAGUACCUGGAGAAUAAGCUCCGGCUAACUCCGUGCCAGCAGCCGCGGUAAUACGGAGGGAGCUAGCGUUGUUCGGAAUUACUGGGCGUAAAGCGUACGUAGGCGGUUAUUCAAGUCAGAGGUGAAAGCCCGGGGCUCAACCCCGGAACGGCCUUUGAAACUAGAUAGCUAGAGUCUUGGAGAGGUCAGUGGAAUUCCGAGUGUAGAGGUGAAAUUCGUAGAUAUUCGGAAGAACACCAGUGGCGAAGGCGACUGACUGGACAAGUACUGACGCUGAGGUACGAAAGCGUGGGGAGCAAACAGGAUUAGAUACCCUGGUAGUCCACGCCGUAAACGAUGAUAACUAGCUGUCCGGGUACUUGGUAUCUGGUGGCGCGAGCUACGACAUUAAGUUAUUACCGUCCGUCGGGUAGGUACGGUCGGCGAAGAAGUUAAACUAACAAAGAAAGUUAGUACGGACGUGAGACGUGCGAACGACGACACGAGGGAGAG